UACGAAGGGGGCUAGCGUUGCUCGGAAUCACUGGGCGUAAAGGGCGCGUAGGCGGUGCUAUAAGUCUGUGGUGAAAUCUCUGGGCUCAACUCAGAGUCUGCCAUAGAAACUGUAGUGCUAGAGUGUGGGAGAGGUGAGUGGAAUUCCCGGUGUAGAGGUGAAAUUCGUAGAUAUCGGGAGGAACACCGGUGGCGAAGGCGGCGAUCUGGGUCGAUACUGACGCUGAGGUGACGAAAGCGUGGGGGAGCAAACAGG
rnacentral:rRNA from 1 species